UACAGAGGUCUCAAGCGUUGUUCGGAUUCAUUGGGCGUAAAGGGUGCGUAGGCGGCGCGGUGAGUCGGAUGUGAAAUCUCGGAGCUUAACUCCGAAACUGCAUUCGAUACUGCCGUGCUUGAGGACUGGAGAGGAGACUGGAAUUUACGGUGUAGCGGUGAAAUGCGUAGAUAUCGGAAGGAAGACCAGUGGCGAAGGCGGGUCUCUGGACAGUGCCGGACGCUGAGGCACGAAGGCCAGGGGAGCAAACGGG
rnacentral:rRNA from 1 species